rnacentral:scRNA from 1 species
GCACGGCGGCAACGGUUGGAGGCUGCGCGCCA